rnacentral:sRNA from 1 species
CUAUUAAAGACCUAGGGUUAUAUAAGUUGAAGAGCUUAGGGAGCUUAACUUACAGCAUCGUACUUUGAAGAGACUCAAACCAAGUAGACUUAUGCAAAUAUUUACUGGUAUUAGACAAAGACAAGAAUGAAUGCUGUAACAUAUCUACUUAUUAUCUGCUUGAUUCUGAUGCUUGUGGUUCAAAUAUUGAGCGCUGAGCGACGGUCACAUUGUAUUCACUCAUGUUCAAACGACAAACAAUGUUGUCAUGGCUAUUUCUGCCAUAGUUUACUUGGCUAUUGUGAGAGCAUGUAGAAGUCUCUACAACAGCUCGCAAGAGAAAGAGAUUUCUAGAGACCUCUGAAAUGAAAUAAAACUUUCUAACUGAAA